rnacentral:rRNA from 18 species
CAACGCGACCCCAGGUCAGGCGGGGCUACCCGCUGAGUUUAAGCAUAUCAAUAAGCGGAG